rnacentral:rRNA from 1 species
AUACGGAAGGUCCGGGCGUUAUCCGGAUUUAUUGGGUUUAAAGGGAGCGCAGGCGGAGAUGCAAGCGUGACGUCAAAUUUCGGGGCUCAACCCCGUCUCGCGUCGCGAACUGCGUCCCUUGGUUGCGGGAAGGGGAGGCGGAACUCGUGGUGUAGCGGUGAAAUGCAUAGAUAUCACGAAGAACUCCGAUCGCGAAGGCAGCCUUCCGGCCCGUCAACGACGCUCAUGCUCGAAGGUGCGGGUGUCAAACAGGAUUAGAUAACCUGGUAGUCCGCACAGUAAACGAUGGACACCCGCGGUUUGGCCUGUAUGGCUGAGCCGCCAAGCGAAAGCGUUAAGUGUCCCACCUGGGGAGUACGCCGGCAACGGUGAAACUCAAAGGAAUUGACGGGG